GGGGAUUUAGCUCAGUGGUAAAGUGCUUGCCUAGCAAGCACAAGGCCCUGGGUUCGAUCCCCAGCUCCA
rnacentral:tRNA from 1 species